rnacentral:rRNA from 1 species
UCAUAUGCUUGUCUCAAAGCUUAAGCCAUGCAAGUGUAAGUUCACGCCACGCUUCAGAACGGGCGAAACCGCGAAUGGCUCAGGAACCGGACCUAAUCCUCGGGACCGUAAUCCUCCUCGGAGGCGAUGGAUAACUGUGGCAAUUCUAGAGCUAAUACAUGUGACACAGGCCGCGAUCGGCCGUCGUGCCGUGGUCGCCUCGCCUCGCGCGCUGGCACCCGCGGCGGCCGUCUCGGGUCGCGGCGCUACAUAUUAGACUGAGACCGAUGCGCGAUUCCCGGCCUCCCUUCGCUUUCGGGCGUCGGGGCCAAAGGUCGGCGCGCUCCGCUUUGGUGACUCUGGAUAACUCACUGGUCGAUCGCACGGGCUUCCACGCCCGGCGACGGGUCCCUCGAGGGUCCGCCCUAUCAACUGUCGACGGUCGGUUAAGUGCCUACCGUGGUUACUACGGGUAACGGGGAAUCGGGGUUCGAUUCCGGAGAGGGAGCAUGCGAAACGGCUACCACAUCCAAGGAAGGCAGCAGGCGCGCAAAUUACCCACUCCCGGCACGGGGAGGUAGUGACGAAAAAUAACGACGCGGGACUCUGUCGAGGCCCCGCGAUCGGAAUGAGUACACUUCAAAUCCGUUAACGAGGACCAACCGGAGGGCAAGUCUGGUGCCAGCAGCCGCGGUAAUUCCAGCUCCGGUAGCGUAUAUUAAAGUUGUUGCGGUUAAAAAGCUCGUAGUCCGAAUUCGGGUUCGUGGUCGCCUCGUGCGGCCCCGGGGCGGCGGCGCCAUCGUCCAUCGUUGACUUUGGUCGUCCGUUCGCAUUCCCGGCCCUUUCCGCCGGUGUCGAUCGCUGCAAGACGGCCGCGUUGGCGGUCGGGUGCGCGGGCUUGUCGUGCGUUCACGCGUGCGGUUCGUCAGCUCCCCGAUGCGGUCGGCGUGCUGCCGUCAGCGGUCUCUCCUCCAAGGGUGCUCUUAACCGAGUGUCCGCGGCGGCCGGUACGUUCACUUUGAAAAAAUUAGAGUGCUCAGAGCGGGCUGUUCAAGCUUGCAUACGAUAAGCAUGGAAUGAUGGAAGAGGGCCUCGUCUACGUCUGUCGGUCUCCGUCUACGGCGAGGCAAUGAUCGAAGGGAGCGGUCGGGGCCACUCGUAUUGCGACGUUAGAGGUGAAAUUCUUGGAUCGUCGCAAGACGAACUGCAGCGAUGGCGUGUGGCAAGCACGUUUUCCUCGAUCAAGAGCGAAAGUCGGAGGUUCGAAGACGAUCAGAUACCGUCGUAGUUCCGACCGUAAACGAUGCCGACCGGCGAUCCGCCGGCGUUCGCUUCCAUGACCCGGCGGGUAGCCUGCGGGAAACCAGAGUUCGGUUCCGGGGGGAGUAUGGUUGCAAAGCUGAAACUUAAAGGAAUUGACGGAAGGGCACCACCAGGAGUGGAGCCUGCGGCUUAAUUUGACUCAACACGGGAAAACUCACCCGGUCCGGACACCGGUAGGAUUGACAGAUCGAUAGCUCUUUCUCGAUUCGGUGGGUGGUGGUGCAUGGCCGUUCUUAGUUGGUGGAGCGAUCCGUCUGGUUGAUUCCGAUAACGAACGAGACUCCGGCCUGCUAACUAGUGCGCCGAUGUGAGUGCGACCCCUCCGCGGGAUUCGUGUGCGGUUGCGUUGCGGGGAUGCGUUGGCGCUGCGGCUUCUGGUCGUUGGYGUCGCGUGCCCCGCGCGUGUCCGGGUCGGUUUCUCACGCACUUCUUAGAGGGACGGGUGGCAGAAAGCCACACGAGGCGGAGCGAUAACAGGUCUGUGAUGCCCUUAGAUGUCCGGGGCCGCACGCGCGCUACACUGGAGGUAUCAGCGGGGACUUCGCCCCGGCCCGAGAGGGUCGGGAAACCUCUCAACCACCUCCCGUGAUAGGGAUCGGGGCCUGUAACCAACCCCGUGAACGAGGAAUUCCCGGUAGGCGCGGGUCAACAGCCCGCGUCGAUCACGUCCCUGCCCUUUGUACACACCGCCCGUCGCUACUACCGAUCGAACGGUCCGGUGAGGUCCUCGGAUCUGGCCGACGACGCUGUCGGGCGUGCGCUCUCGGGUGCCGCCUCGGCGUUCGACGCCUGGAGAAGACGACCGAACCCGAUCGUUUAGAGGAAGUAAAAGUCGUAACAAGGUUUCC